rnacentral:rRNA from 1 species
AUUGAACGCUGGCGGCAGGCCUAACACAUGCAAGUCGAGCGAGCGGCGGACGGGUGAGUAAUAUAUGGGGACUGCCCGAUAGAGGGGGAUAACUACUGGAAACGGUGGCUAAUCCCGCAUACUAUCGGAUCACCCAUAUGGGAUUAGCUUGUAGGUGGGGUAAGGGCUCACCUAGGCGACGAUCUCUAGCUGGUCUGAGAGGAUGAUCAGCAACACUUGGACUGAGACACGGCCCAGACUCCUACGGAGGCAGCAGUGGGGAAUAUUGCACAAUGGGCGAAAGCCUGAUGCAGCCAUGCCGCGUGAGUGAUGAAGGUCUUCGGAUCGUAAAACUCUGUUAUUAGGGAAGCGGUACCUAAUCAGAAAGCCACGGCUAACUACGUGCCAGCAGCCGCGGUAAUUC